rnacentral:rRNA from 1 species
AUUGAACGCUGGCGGCAGGCUUAACACAUGCAAGUCGAGCGGAGCGAGGGUGCUUGCACCUUAGCUUAGCGGCGGACGGGUGAGUAAUGCUUAGGAAUCUGCCUAUUAGUGGGGGACAACAUUCCGAAAGGAAUGCUAAUACCGCAUACGUCCUACGGGAGAAAGCAGGGGAUCUUCGGACCUUGCGCUAAUAGAUGAGCCUAAGUCGGAUUAGCUAGUUGGUGGGGUAAAGGCCUACCAAGGCGACGAUCUGUGGCGGGUCUGAGAGGAUGAUCCGCCACACUGGGACUGAGACACGGCCCAGACUCCUACGGGAGGCAGCAGUGGGGAAUAUUGGACAAUGGGGGGAACCCUGAUCCAGCCAUGCCGCGUGUGUGAAGAAGGCCUUAUGGUUGUAAAGCACUUUAAGCGAGGAGGAGGCUACUUUAGUUAAUACCUAGAGAUAGUGGACGUUACUCGCAGAAUAAGCACCGGCUAACUCUGUGCCAGCCGCCGCGGUAA